AGAGUUUGAUCCUGGCUCAGGAUGAACGCUGGCGGCAUGCCUAAUACAUGCAAGUCGAACGAGGGUCCUUCGGGACUCGAGUGGCGAACGGGUGAGUAACACGUAGGGAACCUGCCCGUGCGACCGGGAGAACUUUCGGAAACGGAAGCUGAUACCGGAUAGGGACAGAGACGGCAUCGACUCUGUGUUAAAGGAGCUGAAAGGCUCCGCGCACGGAUGGACCUGCGGUGCAUUAGCUGGUUGGUGAGGUAACGGCCCACCAAGGCGACGAUGCAUAGCCGGCCUGAGAGGGCGGACGGCCACACUGGGACUGAGACACGGCCCAGACUCCUACGGGAGGCAGCAGUAGGGAAUUUUCGUCAAUGGGCGCAAGCCUGAACGAGCAAUGCCGCGUGAACGAGGAAGGUCUUCGGAUCGUAAAGUUCUGUUGAAGGGGAAAAAGAGCGGAGAGAGGAAAUGGUCUCCGAUUGAUAUUACCCUUCGAGGAAGUCACGGCUAACUACGUGCCAGCAGCCGCGGUAAUACGUAGGUGGCGAGCGUUAUCCGGAAUGAUUGGGCGUAAAGGGUGCGUAGGCGGCCUGCUAAGUCUGGAGUGAAAGGUACCGGCUCAACCGGUACAGGCUCUGGAAACUGGCGGGCUAGAGAGCAGGAGAGGGCGGUGGAACUCCAUGUGUAGCGGUAAAAUGCGUAGAUAUAUGGAAGAACACCAGUGGCGAAGGCGGCCGCCUGGCCUGUUACUGACGCUGAGGCACGAAAGCGUGGGGAGCAAAUAGGAUUAGAUACCCUAGUAGUCCACGCCGUAAACGAUGAGGACCAAGUGUUGGGGAAGACCCAGUGCUGCAGUUAACGCAGUGAGUCCUCCGCCUGGGGAGUAUGCACGCAAGUGUGAAACUCAAAGGAAUUGACGGGGGCCCGCACAAGCGGUGGAGUAUGUGGUUUAAUUCGAAGCAACGCGAAGAACCUUACCAGGCCUUGACAUAGGGUGCGAAGCUAUGGAGACAUAGUGGAGGUAAACAUCCAUACAGGUGGUGCAUGGUUGUCGUCAGCUCGUGUCGUGAGAUGUUCAGUUAAGUCUGGCAACGAGCGCAACCCUCGUGAUGUGUUACCAAUAUCGAGUUAGGGACUCACAUCAGACUGCCGGUGAGAAACCGGAGGAAGGCGGGGAGGACGUCAAAUCAUCAUGCCCCUUAUGGCCUGGGCUACACACGUACUACAAUGGCGGCGACAGAGGGCAGCGAGCCUGCGAAGGCAAGCGAAUCCCCAAAAAGCCGUCCCAGUUCGGAUUGGAGUCUGCAACCCGACUCCAUGAAGUUGGAAUCGCUAGUAAUCGCGGAUCAGCAUGCCGCGGUGAAUACGUUCUCGGGCCUUGCACACACCGCCCGUCAA
rnacentral:rRNA from 1 species